UCAAACCUUCAUAUUUAAUACGUAUGAAUAAAAACGCCAUUUACUUUAGAUGACAACCGUGCUUACGCCUUACAUGUAAAUACUUUCAAAUUUCAAUUCUUCACUUCGAAAUUUAACGAGGGUAACAGUUAUUAUUUAAAUAUAUCUUUUACACAAUAUUGUUUUAAAUUACCCAAGUGUAUGUGAUUUUGUAUGAAACAAACCCUGUGAAGAUAUAUAGUGUAGAGAGCUUGCCGGUGGGUUGUUUUUAAGGACGUGAUUCAUAGAGUCUUAUUGGCACACCAUUUUGUUUUCGUCUUGAAGGCCGCUUGUCGGACAUCCGGAUUUCGGUAUAAAAUCGCAAUGAAAGCCCAUUAAAUGGCUUCUCUUGUUAUUAUUUCUUGCGAUUGCGUUCGUUGGUUGCGAUUUUGUUCAUGCAACCGGCAUAUAAUCCAUACUUCAGACUGGUCGACUUUGGAACUGAUGAAAAUACAAUAUUUCUGCUAAGACAAUAUGAGAAUCGUGAGGUGCAGACAGGCUCUGAACACACAGGAUACAGGGAAGGACCGCUACCAAGUUACGUUAAAAUGUAAUGUGCGAAGAUUAAUUAUAGAAAAAACAUUAAACUGUUCGCGUUUCGCCAAGCUUUGAACACUCGUGGUACUGAGGUUGAUCUCAGAUGUCUCACACAUUUUAUUACAAUCGUUGUGUCAUCACAUCAUUUUGUUUCCAGACCUCGCAAACGUUCAACCGUCAACGUAUGUGUUACUCAAAUAUUUAAGUACCUUUUCUAAUAAGACCUCGUUUAAUAUAAUUCAAUCAAAAAAAGAAUGCUCCACAUCAAAUAUUAGCGAUCUUAAAUACGAGUAUUCUGCUCCUGGUAUAAUGUGAAUUGUAAAACAUCACCAAUUUUCUCUAUAAUCAAAAUUUGUAUACAAAAAGUUUGUCAAACUUAGUUAUGAAGUGAGCAGUUCGUAUUUCCAGUACACUGACGAUGCCGUUGCAUAGAUAAGGCUCAAUUCGUCGGUCAUGCAAUUUGUUAUCUGAUGACCUUCAACAUCCCUCUCAAUGGGGCACGGUAGGGCUGAAAUCAAUAUUUUUUUCAUUUUUAAUUCAUUAAAAUGAAUUAAUAUUUAUAUGAAUAACAUUAUUGAGAUGUAGUGAAUAGAUUAUAGUAACUAAACAUACUUAUUAACCAUUAUAUAAUAUGUAACCUACUUUUGUACCUAUCUAAUGUACGAUCUAUUUGAAAUAAAGGCAGUAUCUACUCAGCA